GCAUAUCAAUAAGCGGAGGAAAAGAAACCAACAGGGAUUGCCUUAGUAACGGCGAGUGAAGCGGCAACAGCUCAAAUUUGAAAGCUGGCUCUUUUAGGGUCCGCGUUGUAAUUUGUAGAGGAUGAUUCGGCGAGGGCUCCCGCCUAAGUCCCCUGGAACGGGGCGUCAUAGAGGGUGAGAAUCCCGUAUGCGGUGGGCUGCCUUAGCCAUGUGAAUCUCCUUCGACGAGUCGAGUUGUUUGGGAAUGCAGCUCUAAAUGGGAGGUAAAUUUCUUCUAAAGCUAAAUACCGGCCAGAGACCGAUAGCGCACAAGUAGAGUGAUCGAAAGAUGAAAAGCACUUUGGAAAGAGAGUUAAAAAGUACGUGAAAUUGUUGAAAGGGAAGCGCUUGCAACCAGACUUGUCCGCAGUUGCUCAGCCGGUCUCCUGACCGGCGUACUCUUCUGCGGCCAGGCCAGCAUCAGUUCGGGCGGUCGGAUAAAGACCUCGGGAAUGUAGCUCCUCUCGGGGAGUGUUAUAGCCCGGGGUGGAAUGCGGCCAGCCUGGACUGAGGAUCUCGCUCGGCAAGGAUG
rnacentral:rRNA from 1 species